GGGCAAGUAGUGUAAAGGACACAACUUAUAUCUACAAAGUUAUCCGGAGGCGGUUCGAAUCCGCCCUUGUCCA